GAUGAAGAACGUAGCGAAAUGCGAUAAGUAAUGUGAAUUGCAGAAUUCAGUGAAUCAUCGAAUCUUUGAACGCACAUUGCGCCCCUUGGUAUUCCGGGGGGCAUGCCUGUUCGAGCGUCAUUAUAACCCCUCAAGCUCAGCUUGGUGUUGGGGCCUGCCAACUGGCAGCCCUUAAAAUCAGUGGCGGCGCCAUCUGGCUCUAAGCGUAGUAAUUUCUCUCGCUAUAGGGUCCCGGUGGAUGCUUGCCAACAACCCCCAAUUUUCUAUGGUUGACCUCGGAUCAGGUAGGGAUACCCGCUGAACUUAAGCAUAUCAAUAAGCGGAGA
rnacentral:misc_RNA from 1 species